UACGAAGGGUGCAAACGUUAUUCGGAAUCACUGGGCGUAAAGGGUGCGUAGACGGUAUGUUAAGUUUGUUGUUAAAGGCUCCGGCCUAACUGGAGUAUUGCGAUGAAAACUGGCAAGCUAGAGGGUGAGAGAGAGAAGUGGAAUUCCCGGAGUAGCGGUAAAAUGCGUGGAUCUCGGGAGGAACACCAAUGGCGAAGGCAGCUUCUUGGCUCAUUCCUGACGUUGAGGCACGAAAGCGUGGGGAGCAAACAGG
rnacentral:rRNA from 1 species